rnacentral:rRNA from 1 species
UACGAAGGGGGCUAGCGUUGCUCGGAAUUACUGGGCGUAAAGCGCACGUAGGCGGCUCGUUAAGUCGGAGGUGAAAUCCUGGAGCUCAACUCCAGAACUGCCUUCGAUACUGAUGAGCUCGAGUUCGGGAGAGGUGAGUGGAACUGCGAGUGUAGAGGUGAAAUUCGUAGAUAUUCGCAAGAACACCAGUGGCGAAGGCGGCUCACUGGCCCGAUACUGACGCUGAGGUGCGAAAGCGUGGGGAGCAAACAGG